rnacentral:rRNA from 1 species
GACGAACGCUGGCGGCGUGCUUAACACAUGCAAGUCGAGCGGUAAGGCCCUUUCGGGGGUACACGAGCGGCGAACGGGUGAGUAACACGUGGGUGACCUGCCCUCAGCUCUGGGAUAAGCCUGGGAAACCGGGUCUAAUACUGGAUAUGACUCCAUGACGCAUGUUGUGGGGUGGAAAGCCUUGUGCGGCUGAGGAUGGGCCCGCGGCCUAUCAGCUUGUUGGUGGGGUGAUGGCCUACCAAGGCGACGACGGGUAGCCGGCCUGAGAGGGCGACCGGCCACACUGGGACUGAGACACGGCCCAGACUCCUACGGGAGGCAGCAGUGGGGAAUCUUGCGCAAUGGGUGAAAGCCUGACGCAGCGACGCCGCGUGAGGGAUGACGGCCU